GUGCUUUAUUAUUAUUUUAGUAUAUAAAACUCACGAAGCCAUUUGAGCUAAUUUUUAUUUUAUAUUAGAAAAAUCAAUUUAGCGUAGUAAAGCUAAAGAUAUAAUAGAAUUUAGGGGUGAAAGGCCUGUCAAAACUGGGGAUAUCUUGAUAUUGGGGAAAUAUAUUUAGUAUAUAGUCAACUUGAUAAUGGUAAGGUUCUCAAGAGUUAUAAUUUAGGGUGUCGGAUUUUCUGGGCUUCGUAAUAGAUACCAGUUUGAUUAUAUUAAUACACCAUACUUUUAAUAUAUAUAUAAUACCUAAAUAAGCAAAGUAACUAACUAAUUGUUUUAAUAAUGAUCUUAUUAGUAUUAAUUUAAUUUUAGUUGAGGAACUCGGCAACUAUAUUUCUCGACUGUUUAUCAAAAACAAGUUUUAAGCUUUUUAUUUAAAAUCAAACCUGCUCAAUGAAAAUUUAAAUAGCCGCAGUACCUUGACUGUGCAAAGGUAGCAUAAUCAAUUGGCUUAUAAUUGAAGUCUAGUAUGAAUGGGAAUUCGGGGAAGCACUGUCUUAAUCAGAAACUAAGAAAUUACUUAAUAAGUGAAAAUUCUUAUUGAAAGAAAAAAGACGAGAAGACCCUAGAAAUUUUUUAGAUGUAUAAUCAUUAAAUUUUGUUGGGGCGACAGGGUAACAAUUAACUUACCUGUUAUAUGUGAAACUUUUAAGUUGUGCAAACAAAUUACUCUAGGGAUAACAGCAUAAUAUUUAAGAGUUUGUGACCUCGAUGUUGGACUAGGGAGUAAAUUACUUAGAAGGUACUUUAAUAAGCUCUGUUCGAGCCCAUUACCCUACAUGAUCUGAGUUCAGACCGG
rnacentral:rRNA from 1 species